rnacentral:rRNA from 1 species
AUUGAACGCUGGCGGCAGGCCUAACACAUGCAAGUCGAACGAGUGGCGGACGGUUGAGUAAUUUCUGGGAAACUGCCCGAUGGAGGGGGAUAACUACUGGAAACGGUAGCUAAUACCGCAUACCAUCGGAUGUGCCCAGAUUGGAUUCGCUAGUAGGUGGGGUAACGGCUCACCUAAGCGACGAUCCCUAGCUGGUCUGAGAGGAUGCCCGGCCACACUGGAACUGAGCCACGGUCCAGACUCCUACGGGAGGCAGCAGUGGGGAAUAUGGCAAAAUGGGCGCAAGCCUGAUGCAGCCAUGCCGCGUGUAUGAAGAAAGCCUUCGGGUUGUAAAGUACUUUCAGCGAGGAGGCGUUACUCGCAGAAGAAGCACCGGCUAACUCCGUGCCAGCAGCCGCGGUAAUAC